UACACGGGGAAACGAAACUAGCCAAAAUUGACAUAAAAAGAACUCAAAAUUAGGUACUCUUCUAUCACUACGGUUUUGGAUACUAUUUUGUUCUCAGUCUUCAAUACUUUUCACUCAAAGCUGAAGUACGUCAAAACUACUCGCUUUUGAGUAAAAUGGAACUUGAACGCAUCAGCGCUUUUUGUUUUGCUUCCCAUUUUCGCAAAGUAUCCAAAAGGGAGUGUUGAUGCAGUACUCAGCAUUGGCUGAAAAUUCAUCACGUACGCCAUAUUGGAUCAAAUUGAUGCGUGCAUUCCGGGUAAGUUUUUCAAUUUUCUCCUUUUUAACUAUGUCCACUGAUAACGCCAACUAUAUUUUUCAGAACACCCGACCGAACCGGCGGCACCGAUGGAAACGUGUGCAUGGAUUUCAGUCGGGAAAAUAUUGAAACGACCUGCUGAAAAUCAUCUUUGCUGUUGCCGUCGCUCGGAUUACAACAUUUUCAAUUGAACAGCAUUCCCGAUACCGAUUCUGGAAACAAAAUCUUCACAACAACGGAAGUACCUUGGAGGAGCACCGUGCGAGAUCGGAACAAUUAAGUGUGAAAUUUGUGGCAAGUGAAAUGUGAUUGUAUUUAUUGAAUUGUAUUUGGAUUCGAAAUAAAAUGAAUAAAUUAGUUA